UGAGAUUCUCUUCUAUAGUAUUUUUAGUCUUUGCACUUAUUUGUGUUUCCUUUGAACGCGAGCGACUGAUCCCAACGCAACUCUGCUUUCUCGAUCGCAAAUAAUUAAAUACUUUCUUCUGAUGUCAGAAUCUUACAUAUCCGGCAUAUUCAAGGCAAAGAAAUAAAGUAAAAUCGGUUACGUGCGAAAUGGACAAUCUAUAAACGGAGAAUGAAGGAUAAAGUCGUGCUCGUAUAUACAUAUGUACAUAUACGUAAAUAAUAGAUAUAUAACAACAACGAAUGAGAAUGACGAUUAUCGCGAGAGACACGUUCGUAAUACAAUGCCGUUCGCUUCGUAUCGCGUAAAAGGCUAUUCCCAAGAUAAAAACGAAAAAUGCAAGCAUUUAAGGAAUUAAGUAUUAUAUACACAUCACGUAUGUUACUGGCGACAUUAAUAGCGAGCUUAUAAAAUAUUGUUAUUGCUGUAUAACUCGAGAGGAGAGUUAACCAGAGUGGCCGCGUAAUCGGUAAUUUUAAAUCGUCUUCUUCUACGACUCCUUCCUCUUGUUAAUUUUGCCGAGUUAGGCGAAGAAACGUAACAAGAACGGCACGUAGGAAGGAGCUAGGGCCAAAAAGUCAAGUAUACUAUCGUUAAAGCAGACCGCCGACGCGAAAUAAGAAGAAGAAGAAGAAUAAGAAGAAGAUGACGAUUAUUUUAAAUAAGAGGAACAUUUUCUUUUGAAUCUUUCGAAUCAGUGUACUCAACGAUGCUUCACAGUUUAUGGCAAGAAAAAUAAACAGGUAGACGAGAAGGGAGGAGGCAUUUAAAAAUAGAUGACUCUUCGUCGUUGUUGUCGUCGAUUUUUGUCUGUCGUUGAUUUUUGCCUGUCGUUGAUUUUUGCCUGUCGUCGACGGUCGUCGACGGUCGUCGUCGUUGUCAAGCAAAGAAGAGAUAGAUGAGUACCUUGAUUCCUCGGUGCAUAACCGCGUUCUUACGCAAUUGAUGCGCACGAACUCAACGAAUGUUGAUAGAAAGACAAGCAUACUUUAGUUAAAAAUAAAAUAGGUUAUAAAGGAAGAUAAUCUCAAAACAAAAGUUAAAUAAAAUUAUCUUUUUUUUUCUUUCUCUGUAGAAAAGAAACGUGCGAAUGAGAUUGGAGUAAAGCCAUGUGGUUCGAGUUUAGAAUCGAACGUAACUAAGUACAUAAUUUACCGCCUGUUAUCAAUUUCGAUCGAUCGAGAUCGAAAGUAUUUACGAUGUCUCUGUAUAAUUGCAGAAGGAUAGAUAAAGUUUUUACAUAUCUACGAUUUAUAUCAUUUAAUCCCUAAAACGUAAAAGCGAUAGGAUAGAUUCAAUGACAUAUUUUGCACGGAAAAAGGAACUUAAAUAACUGGCUUAAAUAAAUAGCUGGUUUGUCCCAUUUUGUUAUAAGCCUACCUGGUAUUUUUGUGCACGAAGAAGAAACUUGGACGAAGGGAGGAUGAAAACGAAGACGAAGGAAAACGUUCCUCUCGGCGAAUACAGCCUCCAAGGAAUGAUAUGCGAGAAAUCUCGAAUGCAACUUUCACCGGAUUACUGGCACGCAAAGUCGCACGGCGUCGUCGAACGUGUAACACCUUUGAAAUACUAAUUCUAAACCAAGAACAAGAAUUGUCCAACUUUGAUCCAGGAAAUAUCAAGCUAACGCUUAAAAUCAUCCGAUUCCGUUCGCUUAAUGAUAGCUAAUGAUUUAUCUCUUUCGAUCCUGUCGAACUUUAAGGACAGACUUAAUAAUAGUCAAAUAGAAAAAGUAAAUUGUGCGAUAGUGUUACAACAUUCAUAGUUAUAGAUGCAUAGGUGCACACACCGCAAACGUUUAUUGGUCGACGAGAGAACGUUCUUUCUCGAUUGGUUACUUUGCAAAGUGUAUCACGAUCGUAUCAACCUAAAACUCUAAACCAUAUAUCAGACAUAUGUAUAUACAUACGUAUAUACGAAUGCAUUGGGAUGCCUCAUUGGAAUGCAUAUGAAUGCAUGCGGUACGACUAUCGCCGAAUUGAAUUGCGUGUUUCCUCUAAAAGAACGUUUCUCCUUCGAAAUACGAUUUUUAUAUACGAUCAAAGAGCAAAAAUCAAUCUUAACAUUCUACUUCUUCUUUUCUACAUUGGAAACUAGAAUUUAGCAUAACAAGUUUCACCGUAGAGAAUGUUUUUUAAUAGCUAACACAACAUAUUACGAUGCAUUCCGUGACAUGUAAAUUAUGCAUAAAUUUCCUGAACGAACAUACAUAUACAUGUACAUAUACAUAUAUAUAUAUACAUAUAUAUUCUAGCCAAAACAUUUAAAAAAUUAUCUACAAAGAUAUGAUAUCUCUUUAUUGUACUUCUUAAAGAUUAUCAACAUUCCUCUAGAGUAAGAAAAAAAUUAAAAAAAGAACAAAGAAAGAAAAGAAAGAUUUUUUUUUUAUUGGGCGCGGUCGGAUAUCAACAAAUUUUUCUAUAUGAUCGAUCAUCUUGAUAUAGAUACAAACUUGUAAACAAUGUAACGAAACAUAAAUAAACUUCACCUUCGCGACGCUUGUUUAUUAGCAACGGAUUUGAAAGAUGUGAAAUACAUGUCGCUUCUCCCUCCCUCUCUCUCUCUCUCUCUCUCUCUCUCUCUCUCUCUCACACUCUCUCAGGAUUGUUUACAAUACUAGUUUAGCGCAAACAGCUGGAAAGUGAAGGACAUAACCUACCGCUUUAGAUUUUUUUCAAUGUACUAUAAAGGAUCGCAUAUUGAUGUAAAUAAGUGAUCGUCUUUUUUGUUUACCUUUGUACAGUCUGCCAGGUAACGUGAGACUUCGCUCGUCGAAUAAAUCGUAUGCGUUAUACGAAACUCUUGUUCUCUUUGUUUUUCUCGUGUAUCUACACCUAAGUUCUAGUGUACUAUUAAUGAUCACGCUCCACUACAUUUCGUUGAUUUUCGAACGAUGAACUCUUUCUACAAAUCGACGUAAUUUUUCUUCUUGAAUGAUUCUCGAAUACACAUAGCAUCUCGAUUCACAAAGAAGCAGUAAGAAUGGCAUACAUAUGUCAAGUAUGCUCUGAACUGUACGGCGAAACGUAUGUUACUAUCCGCCGUUCCAA